GACGAACGCUGGCGGCGUGCUUAACACAUGCAAGUCGAACGGAAAGGCCCGGCUUUUGUGGGGUGCUCGAGUGGCGAACGGGUGAGUAACACGUGAGUAACCUGCCCUUGACUUUGGGAUAACUUCACGAAACUUAGGCUAAUACCGGAUAGGAGCUCCUGCUGCAUGGUGGGGGGUGGAAAGUUUCGGCUGUGGGGGAUGGACUCGCGGCUUAUGAGCUUGUUGGUGGGGUAGUGGCUUACCAAGGCUUUGACGGGUAGCCGGCCUGAGAGGGGGACCGGCCACAUUGGGACUGAGAUACGGCCCAGCAUCCUACGGGGGGCAGCAGUGGGGAAUAUUGCACCAUGGGCGGAAGCCUGAUGCAGCAACGCCGCGUGCGGGAUGACGGCCUUCGGGUUGUAGACCGCUUUCGCCUGUGACGAAGAGUGAGUGACGGUAAUGGGUAAAGAAGCACCGGCUAACUACGUG
rnacentral:rRNA from 1 species